GGCGAGAUGGCCGAGCGGUCUAAGGCGCUGGUUUGAGGCGCCAGUCUCUUCGGGGGCGUGGGUUCGAAUCCCACUCUCGUCA
rnacentral:tRNA from 1 species